rnacentral:lncRNA from 1 species
GGCUCCCUUGUCUCUGCGACAGUAACCGUCCGAUCGCAGCCCAUCUCAGAUCUUCUUCAUCCUGCUCCACUGUCUCAGCAUUCAACGGCCGCGCGAACGAUUUUCUUCCCGUCUCGACGUCGAGGUCGAAAUACUCACUCCCAUUGGAAGCAUCCGCCAUUGAUUAUUCUCUUCUUCUUCUCCGAGGUCGAUCAUGAUUUUGUUUUCUUCUUCUGCGAUCUCUGAGAGAUAUUUUUCUGUUUAGUUUGGGGUAUGAUGUUAAAAUGUCACAAACUCAAAUUAAAAAUCAAACCCCCAAAGUUUCACUCCCUUCUCAAAUUCGCCCCAACACUUUCUCCCUUGUCCUAGCAACUCAAGGAGGACUGAUCAAGCGAGGAUCAACCUCCGCCCUAGCCACACCUCCCGGCGCCUCCUUCGCCACCUCAACCUCACCUUUCCCAACCUCCACCGCCAUGUCAUCACCACCACCACCCCCGAUCUUCUCCUCAUCGUAAUUAAGAUCGCCUUCGUCCAUCGUCGACGGAUCCGGCUGCAUCUCGUAAUCCUCCAUCCGAGCUGCCCCCUCCCACGUGUACUUCCCGCCGUGACCUGACUUCGGCGGCGGACACCUGAUCUUAGUCCCGUCGGAAGGGUGCCUCUCCAUCCUUUGGACGCCUUUCUCCAUCAGCUUCUUCUUGACUUGAUUGAUCGUGUCAGGGUUUCGAGUCUUUAGCUCGAGUUUAUCGACAACUUUCCGACCUUCCUCGUCCCGGUGCUCAGAUCGUAGAUCAGAUCGUGAAAUGGAAUCGAAGAAGAGGAAGAGGAAAGGGUUUCACGAACAAUCUACGGAAAAAUUAGGGUUUGGAGAAAAUGAGGAAGAAGGAUCUAGCGUCGGUGAGGUGAAGGUUAGGAUGCUUUCCAUAGGUGGGAUUGCUGGGCCACUAAGAUUAUCUUGACAGAUCAGAAGUUAUUCGAAGCCCAAUAUCCAAAAUCAGUUAUGACGUGGCGAAACGUUAUAACAUAAUUGGUUGAUUUUUUAUGCUUACGUGGACACUAUAGGAGGAGCUUAUAUCUCCCUUUUAGUAUAGUAUAGACUAGAGAUUUUUCCCGGGCUACGCCCGGGUUUUUUCAUAUAUUUUAACUAAACUUAAAUGAUCAUAUAAUUUUUUUUAUAAUGUAUAAUUGUAAAAAAUAUAUUUUUGCUUAUUUUCAGUUACAUGUCGCUAAUUAAAUAUCAUUACAAUUGAUAUAUACAUCAGCUCCAUUUGCUAAAAACUUCAUGCAGAGUUUUUCCUAUUUGAAAUACUCAAAUAAUCUUGAUGGAAGCUACCAAAGGUUAUAAAACAAAAAAUAAACUGUUUCUGUUUGAAAAAUAAUAUGUUUUAUUUUACCGAAGUGACAGGUUAGAACAAUUAAGUUUGGUUACUGACCUAAGACUUUCACAUAAUUGAAGAAGUAGGUGAAGAUUGGCUAUGUUCUCUUUGAUUGAAUUCUUUAUUCAAGAACAUGAGAUUGACGAUGUUUUUCAAGAACAUAAAAUUGGCUAUGUUCUCUAUGUUUGAAAAUUAGAUUAUAUGUCUAAAACAUAAGCAUUAUAAACACUUCUUCAACCACUAAACGUAAAAAAUGUAUAUAUAAUAGUUUUAAUCCAUAUAGAAUCAUAUUAAUUAUAGACAUAUAAAUAAUUUUAAUACUUUGUUUUCAUAUAUUGUAUAAUAUGUUAAAUGUAUUGGAAAGUAAGUUUGUAUUCUUAAAUUUGUUGUACCAAAUGAUUUGUAAAGAGAGGACCUUUGUUUAAGCAUAUGUGUGGAAGAAUUUAUUUCUAAAUUUUAAAGAUAUAAUAUAUAUAAGUUGUAGGACUUUCAAAAUUGUCAAAAAAUAAUAUUGAAAUUAAUUUUAAAAUGUUUAUGGCUCUGUAAAACUCGGUUCUCUGAUUAACUAAAUUAAUGAUGUAUUUCAAAUAUCAGUUAAAAAUACAAAAACACAAUCCACACUAUUUAUAAUAGUAAUGCACAGACUACGUGUCAAAGCUCAUCAUCAUACGUUUUUCUUUAAGAAGAUGAACCUUUAUUUUUUUUAUUAGAAGUAUGUGUUUAUUCUGCUAUUGCUCAUGAAUCCAUUUAAUGUUUGUCAAAAUUCCAACACAUAUUUUUGGAGGAGUUAUGUUGCACCCAAUGAUCAAAUAGCAAACCUUGAAUAUACGCAAGCUAGGUGUAAAUCAUAUAAUUUUUUUUUUUUGGAAAGAAAUACAAAACGAAAAGAAAAUGCGCCUCAGAGGUAGAAAAUAAUUAACUUUACCAUGAAUACAUAUUUUCCAUGGUUGUUUUUUCAUUUAUACGAAUUUACAUUUUAGUUAGUGGGGCUGUGGAGGUGGACACUUCUUUUUGCCUAUCAAAUUUAUCCAGUGACAAUGAAGUAACAAACCUAUUUCCAAUUAACUAUUACAGCUUAUAAAUUAAAUUUUUAACUUGUUUGCAAUCAUUUAUAUAAAGCCACCGGGAGAUAAAAAAGUCAUCUUGGGACUGCUGGCAUUUCAUCAGCCAUAAUGUCUUCGAGGAGAGGGUUGAUUCUCAGCGACGGGAGCACUUGGAGCAGAUCCAGCAGUAUAACAACUGCAACAACAACAACACGUGAUUCUGAUUACAGACAGGAUAAUAGCAAAAACAUCAGCUAUUUCACAUCAGUGUUCAAAUUGGCUAAAUAAAAAGCAAGAUACAAAAACACAAUCCACACUAUUUAUAAUAGUAAUGCUUGUACUACAUGUCAAAGCUCAUCAUCAUACGUUUUUCUUUAAGAAGAUGAACCUUUUAUUUUUUUAUUAGAAGUAUGUGUUUAUUCUGCUAUUGCUCAUGAAUCCAUUUAAUGUUUGUCAAAAUUCCAACACAUAUUUUUGGAGAAGUUAUGUUGCGUUUAGCACCCAAUGAUCAAAUAGCAAACCUUGAAUAUACGCAAGCAAGGUGUAAACCAUAUAAAUUUUUUUUUGGAAAGAAAUACAAAACGAAAAAAAAAUGCGCCUCAGAGGUAGAAAAUAAUUAACUUUACCAUGAAUACAUAUUUUCCAUGGUUGUUUUUUUCAUUUAUACGAAUUUAAAUUUUAGUUAGUGGGGCUGUGGGGGUGGACACUUCUUUUUGCCUAUCAAAUUUAUCCAGUGACAAUGAAGUAACAAACCUAUUUCUAAUUAACUAUUACAGCUUAUAAAUUAAAUUAUUUACUUGUUUGCAAUCAUUUAUAUAAAGCCACCGGGAGAUAAAAAAAAGUUAUCUUGGGAAUGCUGGCAUUUCAUCAGCCAUAAUGUCUUCGAGGAGAGGAUUGAUUCUCAGCGACGGGAGCACUUGGAGCAGAUCCAGCAGUAUAACAACUGCAACAACAACAACACGUGAUUCUGAUUACAGACAGGAUAAUAGCAAAAACAUCAGCUAUUUCACAUCAGUGUUCAAAUUGGCUAAAGAAAAAGCAAGCAACAUCAAAUGGGUACAUCUCAACAUCAAAGAACUGUAUCAUUGUAGCUAUCUAAUGAAAAUAGCUUAUGCAUAAGAUAAUAUAUCUCAACACAUUCCUAUCAAAUUUGUUAACAGCUUUCAGUCAACCAACCAACACAAAUGGAUGGAAAACUAAAAAGGAAACAUAAGCAAUUAUAUGUUAGUACAAAAAAUUACCCAAGAUGUGAAGGAGGACUAAAUCCAUUUUAAUGAGUGAACCUGGAACAAAUAAAGUCAAAACAACUUUGUACAUGAUAAGGUAGAAAACCUAGAACAUAUAAAAGUAUGUUUGAUGAAAGACAAAAAUAUUAGAGUGAAAGCAAAACAGUCCUCAAACCCAUCAUUUUUCAUGGUUCCAACUUCCAUUCUUGUGUGAGUCAGCUAUAUGACUCAUAUGGUUAGCUUGUGUUUUCUAGUCUUCAUCAUUCUCAAACUGCUUAAAACACGCUGCAACACAAAAUCGAUACAAAAUAAAAAAACAAUCACGUAAAAUGGUUACGUGUGGAAAAUAUACUCAUGAGAAAAGAUGAACAUAGAAAAGAUACAGAGAAAAAAAAGAAAACCCAAACAUAGAAACAUAGAAUCAAAAAGAUACCUAUUGAGCCGUUUCUUGAUAGCGGAGAGAAGCUUGUAAUUAUCCUGAUCGCUAGUGGCAAGAGCUUGACGAACAACCAUCUCACGAUCCGAACGAUCAAGCUUCCUUACGUCAAUCGUCUGCACGACGUUCCCGUCUGCGUAACCAGAAGUUUGCGACCGACGCAGAGUCGCUAAAUGGCUCCCUUGUCUCUGCGACAGUAACCGUCCGAUCGCAGCCCAUCUCAGAUCUUCUUCAUCCUGCUCCACUGUCUCAGCAUUCAACGGCCGCGCGAACGAUUUUCUUCCCGUCUCGACGUCGAGGUCGAAAUACUCACUCCCAUUGGAAGCAUCCGCCAUUGAUUAUUCUCUUCUUCUUCUCCGAGGUCGAUCAUGAUUUUGUUUUCUUCUUCUGCGAUCUCUGAGAGAUAUUUUUCUGUUUAGUUUGGGGUAUGAUGUUAAAAUGUCACAAACUCAAAUUAAAAAUCAAACCCCCAAAGUUU